rnacentral:rRNA from 1 species
CCUACGGGAGGCAGCAGUGAGGAAUAUUGGUCAAUGGGCGCGAGCCUGAACCAGCCAAGCCGCGUGAAGGAUGACUGCCCUACGGGUUGUAAACUUCUUUUAUAAAGGAAUAAAUUCAGGCACGUGUGCCUGUUUGUAUGUAUUUUACGAAUAAGGAUCGGCUAACUCCGUGCCAGCAGCCGCGGUAAUACGGAGGAUCCGAGCGUUAUCCGGAUUUAUUGGGUUUAAAGGGUGCGUAGGUGGGUUUAUAAGUUAGUUGUGAAAGUUUGGGGCUCAACCGUAAAAUUGCAAUUGAUACUGGCAGACUAGAGUACAGUUGAGGUAGGCGGAAUUCAUGGUGUAGCGGUGAAAUGCUUAGAUAUCACGAAGAACACCGAUUGCGAAGGCAGCUUACUAAACUGCAACUGACAUUGAUGCUCGAAAGUGUGGGGAGCAAACAGGAUUAGAUACCCGAGUAGUC